rnacentral:ribozyme from 1 species
AGCAAUACCGCACUGUUACGGGUAUGGUCCGAUGCCUCUGGAAGGAUAAUAUUGAAUCUCCAUACCCUACUCCGACUCAAUAUCAAGUAUCGAUGGAUACUUGUUAACGCUCAUAUAUAUUCAGAAAAGGAGGA